GGGAAACAGAAACCAUUGGAAGACACUUUACCAACAAGGAAGCGCUGGCUGUACUUUUAAAACAGAAAACAUAUUCUCUGGAGAACAAGCUACAUCUUAAAUUUAAUCUUCCUCCAACACCUCAAAAUACAGGAGGAGAACCAUCCUUCUCUCUUUCCCUUGACUAUAAAGGCUCUUGUCGUCUUGGAAGAAUGUUGAUCUGAAACAAAAAAGGAAAGAGGAGGAUUAGAAAAAGAGGUGGUAUUGUGGCUUUCAGUGCCCACAAAGCACUGAAGAAAGCUGAAGAAAAUGUAACAUCAGCCAAGAAAAUGAUUGAUCUUCAUGAGGAAAAGGAACAAGAAUAUUUUAGAGAAGUUAAAAUGUAUGCCAAGAUGGUUAAAGAACAGGAGAACAUGAUCCUGGAAAAUGAGUUGAAGAUUAAAACAAUUGAAAAAGUGAAGCAUGAAUUGGCCAAGUUUCAUCGGGAGACUGUGGAUUUGCAAGAGGCCGUGAGGCAAUGUUCCCAUUUUGUGGGCCUCCUGGGAUCAAAGGCAAAUGUGGUCCACAUAACGAGUCAGUACAGCGGUACUGAAGAAUGUAUUUAAUUUCAUUCCUUUCUGAUAAAACAUCAGGGGCAAAAGGCCAGGCGAUUCUCAGCACCCCUCAGAUAAGAAGAAGCAUCCGACAGCUGAAAAGUGUUUUUGAACCCCACAAUCCUUUGGCUAAUGUUUUCUAUGACAUUGCAGGGGAUCUGCUAGAUGGGGAGAAAUUCCCUUGGCGUUUUAUCCUUUAUGUUGUCAUAUUAGUCGUGGUUCUGGCAAUUUUCUUUUCUGUUCAUAAGUUGUGCUGAUUCUACUUGAUUUGCUUUUGCAUCCUCUGUAUUUUUAUAUAAAUUCCCAAGGGGGGGAAAGAGGCAGAAAUAGGAUGAAAGAGCACAACCCUGAGGACACAAAAGUGUUACCAGAUACCCAGAAACUCAAUGUAAAAUGAUUGUUUUAUUAAUUGCAUUUAUUGCCGCUUCUCUAUUUUACAAAAAAUUUUUAAAGCCUCUCAGCAUCCAUUAACUUGAUACGUGGGCUUUGGCAAAGCCAUGCCUUCUCUUGGACUCCACUUUUU